rnacentral:rRNA from 1 species
AGUGAACGCUGGCGGUAGGCCUAACACAUGCAAGUCGAACGGCAGCACAGUAAGAGCUUGCUCUUACGGGUGGCGAGUGGCGGACGGGUGAGGAAUACAUCGGAAUCUACUUUUUCGUGGGGGAUAACGUAGGGAAACUUACGCUAAUACCGCAUACGACCUACGGGUGAAAGCAGGGGAUCUUCGGACCUUGCGCGAUUGAAUGAGCCGAUGUCGGAUUAGCUAGUUGGCGGGGUAAAGGCCCACCAAGGCGACGAUCCGUAGCUGGUCUGAGAGGAUGGUCAGCCACACUGGAACUGAGACACGGUCCAGACUCCUACGGGAGGCAGCAGUGGGGAAUAUGGGGCAAUGGGCGCAAGCCUGAUCCAGCCAUACCGCGUGGGUGAAGAAGGCCUUCGGGUUGUAAAGCCCUUUUGUUGGGAAAGAAAAGCAGCAGGUUAAUACCCCGCUGUUCUGACGGUACCCAAAGAAUAAGCACCGGCUAACUUCGUG